GAUGGCAACUUUGGGAAUGGCUCUCGCAUAUGUUCCUUGGAACAGGACGUCAUAGAGGGUGAGAACCCCGUUCAUGGCGAGAUGACCCAGUCCUAUGUAAAGUGCUUUCUAAGAGUCGAGUUGUUUGGGAAUGCAGCUCUAAGUGGGUGGUAAAUUCCAUCUAAGGCUAAAUAUUGGCGAGAGACCGAUAGCGAACAAGUACAGUGAUGGAAAGAUGAAAAGAACUUUGAAAAGAGAGUGAAAAAGUACGUGAAAUUGUUGAAAGGGAAGGGCUUGAAGUCAGACAUGGUAUUCAGUGAUCAACUGUCUUUCGGGACUGUGCACUCGCUGUUUACUGGGCCAGCAUCGGUUUAGGCGGUGAGAUAAAUGCAAGAGAAUGUGGCUCCGCUUUCGGGUGGAGUGUUAUAGCUUUUGUUCAUAUCACCAGCUUGGACCGAGGACCGCGCUUCGGCUAGGAUGCUGGCGUAAUGAC
rnacentral:rRNA from 1 species